CACCGCCUGGGGAGUACGACCGCAAGGUUAAAACUCAAAUGAAUUGACGGGGACCCGCACAAGUAGUGGAGCAUGUGGUUUAAUUCGAAGAUACGCGCAGAACCUUACCAACACUUGACAUGUUCGUCGCGACUUUAAGAGAUUAAAGUUUUCGGUUCGGCCGGACGAAACACAGGUGCUGCAUGGCUGUCGUCAGCUCGUGUCGUGAGAUGUUGGGUUAAGUCCCGCAACGAGCGCAACCCUCACUUUUAGUUGCCAUCAUUAAGUUGGGCACUCUGAAAGAACUGCCAGUGAUAAGCUGGAGGAAGGUGGGGAUGACGUCAAGUCCUCAUGGCCCUUACGUGUUGGGCUACACACGUGCUACAAUGAUAUCUACAAAAGGAAGCAAGACGGCGACGUUAAGCAAAUCCUUUAAAAGAUAUCUCAGUUCGGAUUGCACUCUGCAACUCGAGUGCAUGAAGCUGGAAUUACUAGUAAUCGUGGAUCAGCGUGCCACGGUGAAUGCGUUCCCGGGUCUUGUACACACCGCCCGUCACACCAUGGGAGUUGGUUCUACCUUAAGGCAAGGUUUCAAACCCUUGACCACGGUAUAGUCAGCGACUGGGGUGAAGUCGUAACAAGGUAGCCGUAGGGGAACCUGCGGCUGGAUUACCUCCUUUCUAAGGAUGAAUAAAAAGUAAAAUUUUAUUCUAAAAAAUAUACAUAGGUAAUGUUGACCGUCCUCAUUUCUCUUCUAAAAUAGUGUUUCUCUUGCAUGGGGGCCGGUAGCUCAGUUGGUUAGAGCACACCCUUGAUAAGGGUGGGGUCGAAAGUUCGAGUCUUUCUCGGCCCACCAAAUAAUAGAAUUAUUUAAAGGGGGAUUAGCUCAGCUGGGAGAGCGCCUGAUUUGCAUUCAGGAGGUCAGCGGUUCGAUCCCGCUAUCCUCCACCAAACACUUAGCUAUAAAAAAUUGUCAAUAAAUAAUAAUUAAUAUCAAAUAUCUAUAUCCGAUUGUUCGAAUAGAUGAACAAUCAAUGAAUGUUUAAUGUUUAAACAUUCUAAAAAUUUGAUUCAACACAGAAUUUUUUUCUG
rnacentral:sRNA from 1 species